rnacentral:rRNA from 1 species
AGCGAACGCUGGCGGCAGGCCUAACACAUGCAAGUCGAACGAACUCUUCGGAGUUAGUGGCGGCCGGGUUAGUAACACGUGGGAACGUGCCUUUUGGUUCGGAAUAACUCAGGGAAACUUGUACUAAUACCGAAUGUGCCCUUCGGGGGAAAGAUUUAUCGCGAUUGGUGCGGCCAGCGUCUGAUUAGCUGGUUGGUGAGGUAACGGCUCACCAAGGCGUCGAUCAGUAGCUGGUCUGAGAGGAUGACCAGCCACACUGGGACGGAGACGCGGCCCAGACUCCUACGGGAGGCAGCAGUGGGUAAUCUUGCGCAAUGGGCGAAAGCCUGACGGAGCCAGGCCGGGUGAAUGAUGAAGGUCUUAGGAUUGUAAAAUUCUUUCACCGGGGACGAUAAUGACGGUACCCGGAGAAGAAGCCCCGGCUAACUUCGUG